AAAAAUAUAAUAUGGUAAGUGGAAUAACCAUAAGAUCCAUACAGACACAUCACAACCCCAAACUUGCUCUAUGCAUUUCUGAAAAAAUCAAAGGGAACCCAAGUCUAAGAAAUAGUUCAGAUCAUCAUACCUCUAGUUUUAGCUGAAACUACUGCAAACAAAAUUGAAACCUGCAAAGAUAAGGAAAGCACAGAACCAAUUCUGAGAGAACCUACUACAUACAAAUGGGAAUUUUGAAUGUUUGGUCGGUAUUAUGGAACUAUGUAUAUAUUUCUUAUAAUAAGAGCUUCACUUGUACUCCCUCCGUCCCAAAAUAAGUGUCUCAACUUUGUACUAACUUUAGUACAAAUUUGUACUAAAUUGAGACACUUAUUUUGGGAUGGAGGGAGUAACAUACUUCUUAAUAUCCAUAUAUUGUAAAGUGGGACUGAAUAUUUCGGCUUCCUUUCUGGCUAUUUGAUAUGUAACAUUGUACACAAGAUGAUUCACAAACAAUUACAGAGGGCCACAAUAUGGAGUUAGAAUUUAACAAAAUAAUUGAUAUGUUAUUUGUUAUGAGAUGUCAACUAAAAAGGGACAAAACAAGAGCAAGAUAGUCACAUUCUAGUUUGUACAUUGAUCUAAAUGACAGCAAGCUCAAUCAAAAUGGGUGGAUAGAGGAUAGCAUUCGCCUAUAUGGGUGCUAUCUACCCAGAAUAAUGGGGACCAUUCAUUUGCAAUAUGUCGAUAAAUUAUAACUCCUAUGUAAUGCCAAUACAUAAUUGCAAUUGCAGCUGCUUGACGGUAAUUGCUAUCAACUAAUUUGUGCAUACAACGUAGUUUAGUCCAAAAUCUAAAUUGACAGUACAGGUUUUUGGAUAAUGAAGCCAGUUUUACAAACAUGUACUAGUACAUUGUUGUCUUUUACUUCAUCAAAUAUCGGGAGUCUAAACGUGUUUCUCCACAUACAUAAAAAAUUCUCUCUCUUUUUUUUUUUGCAAAUAUACAUAAAAAUUUCUAACAAUAAUAUUCAUCUAAUUAGUUUGGUUUUCUUCACUGCCUGAUUUAUAAAGCAUAAAUAAACAUAUUAACAAAUGGAAGAGACAUAAGGAGCGUGAAGAGCGCCAGCAGUUUAACUUACAUCCAGAUGCAGAAAUUUUGCUAGUUUGUUGGAUCCUAAUUUGCUCAAGGC
rnacentral:lncRNA from 1 species